UACAGAGGUCUCAAGCGUUGUUCGGAUUCAUUGGGCGUAAAGCGCGCGCAGGCGGUUCAGUAAGUUGGAUGUUUAAAGCCGGGGCUCAACCCCGGUGCGCAUCCAAAACUGGUGGACUUGAGUGUAGGAGAGGAAAGUGGAAUUCCACGUGUAGCGGUGAAAUGCGUAGAGAUGUGGAGGAACACCAGUGGCGAAGGCGACUUUCUGGCCUAUAACUGACGCUGAGGCACGAAAGGCCAGGGGAGCAAACGGG
rnacentral:rRNA from 1 species